rnacentral:rRNA from 1 species
CCCUUAGAUGUUCUGGGCCGCACGCGCGCUACACUGAUGAACGCAACGAGACCACCUGUACCGAAAGGCAUGGGUAAACUUGUGAAAGUUCAUCGUGAUGGGGAUAGAUUAUUGCAAUUAUUAAUCUUCAACGAGGAAUUCCUAGUAAGCGCGAGUCAUCAGCUCGCGUUGAUUACGUCCCUGCCCUUUGUACACACCGCCCGUCGCUCCUACCGAUUGAAUGGUCCGGUGAAAUCUUCGGAUUGCUGGAUAGGACUUCAUUGACCUAUCUACGAGAAGUUGCUUGAACCUUAUCAUUUAGAGGAAGGAGAAGUCGUAACA